GACGAACCGUGCGAACGUUGUUCGGAAUCACUGGGCUUAAAGGGCGCGUAGGGGACCUCCAAGUCCGGGGUGAAAUCUUUCGGCUUAACCGGAAAAGUGCCUUGGAUACUGGGGGUCUCGAGGGAGGCAGGGGCGGAUGGAACUUCCGGUGGAGCGGUGAAAUGCGUUGAUAUCGGAAGGAACGCCGGUGGCGAAAGCGAUCCGCUGGACCUCUUCUGACGCUGAGGCGCGAAAGCCAGGGAGCAAACGGG
rnacentral:rRNA from 1 species